rnacentral:rRNA from 1 species
GAUGAACGCUGGCGGCGUGCCUAAUACAUGCAAGUCGAGCGAACAGACGAGGAGCUUGCUCCUUUGACGUUAGCGGCGGACGGGUGAGUAACACGUGGAUAACCUACCUAUAAGACUGGGAUAACUUCGGGAAACCGGAGCUAAUACCGGAUAACAUGUUGAACCGCAUGGUUCAACAGUGAAAGACGGUCUUGCUGUCACUUAUAGAUGGAUCCGCGCCGCAUUAGCUAGUUGGUAAGGUAACGGCUUACCAAGGCAACGAUGCGUAGCCGACCUGAGAGGGUGAUCGGCCACACUGGAACUGAGACACGGUCCAGACUCCUACGGGAGGCAGCAGUAGGGAAUCUUCCGCAAUGGGCGAAAGCCUGACGGAGCAACGCCGCGUGAGUGAAGAAGGUCUUCGGAUCGUAAAACUCUGUUAUUAGGGUAGAACAAAUGUGUAAGUAACUAUGCACGUCUUGACGGUACCUAAUCAGAAAGCCACGGCUAACUACGUG